UGGGGAAUUUUGGACAAUGGGGGCAACCCUGAUCCAGCAAUGCCGCGUGUGUGAAGAAGGCCUUCGGGUUGUAAAGCACUUUUGUCCGGGAAGAAAUCGCACCUGAUAAUACCGGGUGUGGAUGACGGUACCGGAAGAAUAAGGACCGGCUAACUACGUGCCAGCAGCCGCGGUAAUACGUAGGGUCCAAGCGUUAAUCGGAAUCACUGGGCGUAAAGCGUGCGCAGGCGGUUGUGCAAGACCGAUGUGAAAUCCCCGGGCUUAACCUGGGAAUUGCAUUGGUGACUGCACGGCUAGAGUGUGUCAGAGGGGGGUAGAAUUCCACGUGUAGCAGCGAAAUGCGUAGAGAUGUGGAGGAAUACCGAUGGCGAAGGCAGCCCCCUGGGAUAACACUGACGCUCAUGCACGAAAGCGUGGGGAGCAAACAGG
rnacentral:rRNA from 1 species